rnacentral:lncRNA from 1 species
AUGUAUAAUCGCAAUCACAUAUGCUUCAAUUCGUCAAUACAACAGCAAAUACACACAUAGUUGAGGAGAAGAGUAAGAAAGGGACCGCGGUAUAGAUGGAAAUUUAUUACUUCACUGGUUUGAACUCAAAUAUGUGACGACCUGCGCACGGAACUCGAACGAACCAACCCCAAUAGGAAUUCCAAUCAAUCGAAUUUGAAUCCAAUUCCAACACUUAAAAGAAAAAUUCAUUUUAGGACCCAAACUCCAAAAAUAAAAAAAUGAACAGAUUUUCUUUUCUCAACUCGAUUUUUUUUUCUUUCCUUUCUCUUUGUUGACUGUAGGUGCAUACAGUGUAUUGUGGUACAUAUUGAUUUAGGCAAUAAAAUAGUAAAAAGCAACAAAAAAAAUAAAAAGAAGAGAAGGAAGAAGGUUGAUGCGGAAAGUAAGGAAAGGAAAAGAAGAAGAAGAAGAAAGAAGUUAU